UACGAAGGGGGCUAGCGUUGCUCGGAAUCACUGGGCGUAAAGCGCACGUAGGCGGAUCUUUAAGUCGGGGGUGAAAUCCUGGAGCUCAACUCCAGAACUGCCUUUGAUACUGGCGAUCUUGAGUCCGGGAGAGGUGAGUGGAACUGCGAGUGUAGAGGUGAAAUUCGUAGAUAUUCGCAAGAACACCAGUGGCGAAGGCGGCUCACUGGCCCGAUACCUGACGCUGAGGUGCGAAAGCGUGGGGAGCAAACAGG
rnacentral:rRNA from 1 species